rnacentral:piRNA from 1 species
CNCCAAACUAAUGGUUCUAGAGCCUCCAC